GGGGUUCAAGUCCUCAAGUCGUUAUGAGAUGAGUGGGCCGUUAUUGUAGGAUGAGAUCCAAAACACUCACGCAUUAGUGGAAGAGCAAAGGAGCAUUUGGGAAAAUAAUGGCUGCACCAUUCUUUUUGAUGGAUGGACAGAUGGUAGGAAUAGGACACUCAUCAAUUCUCUAGUUGCUUCAGGGGGACAGUUAGUAUUUUUAAAAUCAAUUGAUGCCUCAAAUGGAUGAGGUGGUGAUGGAUGUGGGAGUGCAGAAUGUCAUCUAGUUUGUGACUGAUAAUGCAGCUGCAUAUUUGGCAGACGACAAACUUCUAAUGGCUAGGCAUUCGACAUUAUUUUGGAGCCCUUGUGCUGCCCAUUGUCUUGACUUGCUCCUUGAGGACAUAGGGAAACUAAGCUGGGUGAAGAAAGUGGUUGAAGAUGGAAGGAAUAUCACCAAAUACAUCUACAAUCACACAUGGGUCUUGAAUCUUAUGAGAGAGCACACUGAUGGUAAGGAUCUUGUGCAAUCGGGUGUCGCAUGCUUUGCUACCAAUUUCCUCACCUUGCAGAGCAUACUAAUUGCAUUGCCCAACUUGAAGCAGUUGUUUGUGAGUGAAAGAAGGUUGGGGAGUCCUUAUGCUACGAAGCCUGAAGUAGAGAAGGUUGUGGUUGCCAUUUUUUAUUCUAAUUUUGCUAAGAUGGUGGAGAAGAUCAUCAAUGUGUCGGAGCCGUUGGUGAGGGUGCUAUGAAUGGUGGAUGGGGAUCAUAACUCCAUGGGAUAUCUAUAUGAGGCCAUGGAUAAGGCCAAAGAGGCGACUCAACACUUGUAUGGGUCAAACAAGACCAAGUAUGAACCCAUAUGGCACAUAAUUGAUCGAAGGUGGAACCAUCAACUCCAUCAACAUAUUCAUGCUGCUGCCUACUACUUGAAUCCCAAUAUUUUCUACUCCUUGAGUAUCAGAGAAGAUGCAAAGGUUAAAGUUGGCCUCAACACAUGCAUUCGGAGAUAGGUUGAUGAUAAGAACCUUCGAGACUUCAUACUUGAUGAUUUGCAGAGCUAUAAGAAGGCCACAGGGCCAUUGUUUUCUUCACUUGAUUGCAAACGUAGGAGAGACACCCUCCGACCAGAAUAUGGUGCCACAAUGCCUAAUCUUCAAAAGCUUGCCAUCCGCAUAUUAUCGCAGCCUUGUAGUGCUUCUGGUUGUGAGCGCAACUGGAGUGUUUUUGAGGCCAUCCACUCAAAAAAGCGCAAUAGGUGGACUCAACAACACUUGAAUGAUCUUGUCUAUGUGCAGUACAACCUUCGAUUGCAUGAGAAGAAGGUGCAAGGGCAAGAUUCACGUGAAGCACUUGACUUGGAUGACAUUGAUCUAUAUUCAACAUAAUGGGUUGCUGCUCCUGAUGAUGUUGAUAAUGAUUUGGAUCCAUUCUUUACUGAUGAGCAGCUAAGUGAGUUGGAGAGGGCAGGAGAGGAAUGGGAUGUGGAAGUGGCAGCACGUGAGGAGGAGUGUGAGGUUGAUCAUGCAACAAAGUCACCUAUUGAAGAUGUUGCCACUACUUCAGCACCACCCCCCCAGCGGCAACAAUCUGUUUUGAGCUUUAGUCGUAGGCACAAUUUAUGAUUUCUCAUUUUCAUUGACACCAAAGCUUGAACUUGAUAUGUAAUCAAAAUUUCAAAGGUUGUAGUUGUUUUGUGGUCUAUGACACUAUGUCACUAUGAUACAUUGAUAAAAAAAAAUUGGGCUUGAUGAGUCAUGGCCGAGUCCAAGUUUUUAAACUAUGAUUUAUACAAUUUCUGCUUAAUAAGAUAAUU